GACGAGGUGGCCGAGUGGUUAAGGCGAUGGACUGCUAAUCCAUUGUGCUCUGCGCAUGGGUUCAAAUCCCAUCCUCGUUG
rnacentral:tRNA from 1 species